rnacentral:rRNA from 1 species
GAUGAACGCUGGCGGUAUGCUUAACACAUGCAAGUCGAACGGACUCUUCGGAGUUAGUGGCGGACGGGUGAGUAACGCGUGAGAAUCUGGCUUUGGGUUCGGGACAACCACUGGAAACGGUGGCUAAUACCGGAUGUGCCGAGAGGUAAAAGAGAAAUUGCCUGAAGAUGAGCUCGCGUCUGAUUAGCUAGUUGGUGAGGUAAAGGCUCACCAAGGCAGCGAUCAGUAGCUGGUCUGAGAGGAUGACCAGCCACACUGGGACUGAGACACGGCCCAGACUCCUACGGGAGGCAGCAGUGGGGAAUUGUCCGCAAUGGGCGAACGCCUGACGGAGCAAUACCGCGUGAGGGAAGAAGGCUCUUGGGUUGUAAACCUCUUUUCUGAGGGAAGAACAAAAUGACGGUACCUAAGGAAUCAGCAUCGGCUAACUCCGUG